GAGUUUUGACUGGGUUGUAGCUGGCCUUCCGAGGCAUGUGCACGCCCUGCUCAUCCACUCUACACCUGUGCACUUACUGUGGGUAUCAGAUCGUGAAGCGUGCUCUUUUACCGGAGCUUGUGAAGCGUGUCUGUGCCUGCGUUUAUCACAAACACUAUAAAGUAUCAGAAUGUGUAUUACGAUGUAACGCAUCUAUAUACAACUUUCAGCAACGGAUCUCUUGGCUCU
rnacentral:misc_RNA from 1 species